GUAAGGAAUAUUGGUCAAUGGAGGCAACUCUGAACCAGCCAUGCCGCGUGCAGGAAGACGGCCCUCUGGGUUGUAAACUGCUUUUAUCCGGGAAUAAACCUGCCUUCGUGAAGGUAGCUGAAUGUACCGGAAGAAUAAGGAUCGGCUAACUCCGUGCCAGCAGCCGCGGUAAUACGGAGGAUCCAAGCGUUAUCCGGAUUUAUUGGGUUUAAAGGGUGCGUAGGCGGCCUGUUAAGUCAGGGGUGAAAGACGGUGGCUCAACCAUCGCAGUGCGCUUGAUACUGAUGGGCUUGAAUGGACUAGAGGUAGGCGGAAUGUGACAAGUAGCGGUGAAAUGCAUAGAUAUGUCACAGAACACCGAUUGCGAAGGCAGCUUACUAUGGUCCUAUUGACGCUGAGGCACGAAAGCGUGGGGAUCGAACAGGAUUAGAAACCCUUGUAGUCC
rnacentral:rRNA from 1 species